rnacentral:rRNA from 1 species
CCUACGGGUGGCAGCAGUGAGGAAUCUUGGUCAAUGGGCGAAAGCCUGAACCAGCCACGCCGCGUGCAGGAUGAAGGCUCUAUGGUUUGUAAACUUCUUUUAUAUGGGGAUAAAGUGAGGUACGUGUUCCUUUUUGUAUGUACCAUAUGAAUAAGCAUCGGCUAACUCCGUGCCAGCAGCCGCGGUAAUACGGAGGAUGCGAGCGUUAUCCGGAUUUAUUGGGUUUAAAGGGUGCGUAGGUGGUUAAUUAAGUCAGAGGUGAAAGUGUGUGGCUCAACCAUAAAAUUACCGUUGAAACUGGUUGACUCGAGAACAUUUGAGGUAGGCGGAAUGCGUGGUGUAGCGGUGAAAUGCAUAGAUAUCACACAGAACACCGAUUGCGAAGGCAGCUUACUAAGCUAUUACUGACACUGAGGCACGAAAGCGUGGGGAGCAAACAGGAUUAGAUACCCUUGUAGUC